UACGGAGGAUCCGAGCGUUAUCCGGAUUUAUUGGGUUUAAAGGGUGCGCAGGCGGGAUGUUAAGUCGGCGGUGAAAUUUUGCAGCUCAACUGUAAAAGUGCCUUCGAUACUGGCUUCCUUGAGUGUGGAUGAAGUAGGCGGAAUUUGUGGUGUAGCGGUGAAAUGCUUAGAUAUCACGAGGAACUCCGAUUGCGCAGGCAGCUUACUAAACCACUACUGACGCUCAUGCACGAAGGCGUGGGGAGUCAAACAGGAUUAGAUACCCGGGUA
rnacentral:rRNA from 1 species